AUAGCUCAGUCUGUCUAUGAACAUCGCAGAGGUAAGCCAGAACCGCUUGCGAGGUGGAGCAGCCGGUGUCGCUCCUGAAACCGCAUUGAGGUGUGAUCGGCUUGUUCUCUCGGCGCCAACACCACGGGUAUCAUGGGUGUGUGACUUGGCAGAGAUCUGGAGCAUGUUGAGACUGACAUGUCUCCAGAGACUCUGAAGUAUUUUAAAAGCCCUCUGUGAUGAUUUUCAAGGAUGAAAAUAAAAAUGAAUGAAUGAAAAUAAAAAUUGAAUAUAUAUUUCUUUACAUG